rnacentral:rRNA from 1 species
CCUACGGGAGGCAGCAGUGAGGAAUAUUGGUCAAUGGGCGGGAGCCUGAACCAGCCAAGCCGCGUGCGGGAAGAAGGUACAGCGUAUCGUAAACCUCUUUUGUCAGGGAACAAAGGCGGGGACUAGUCCCCGGAUGAGGGUACCUGAAGAAAAAGCAUCGGCUAACUCCGUGCCAGCAGCCGCGGUAAUACGGAGGAUGCGAGCGUUAUCCGGAUUUAUUGGGUUUAAAGGGUGCUGAGGCGGCCUGUUAAGUCAGCGGGAAAAGCCCGGGGCUCAACCCCGGCGAGCCGUUGAAACUGGCGGGCUGGAGUUGGAGAGAAGUACGCGGAAUGCGCGGUGUAGCGGUGAAAUGCUUAGAUAGCGCGCAGAACCCCGAUUGCGAAGGCAGCGUACCGGCUCCACACUGACGCUGAGGCACGAAAGCGUGGGUAUCGAACAGGAUUAGAUACCCUUGUAGUC